rnacentral:rRNA from 1 species
AUGGGUCCUACUAAGGCGCCUGGUCCAGAUGGUUUCUCUGCUUUAUUUUAUCAAACACACUGGGCGUUCCUGGAGGAGGAUAUUUGUCAGACCGUGCGAAGUUUUUUGGAGGGACGGCUAAUUCUGGAGGGAUUUUGUGAUUUUGUGAUCGUGCUUAUCCCUAAAGUUCUGAGGCCAAAACAAUUGAAGAAUUUUCGCCCUAUUAGCCUCUGCAACGUCCUCUAUAAAAUUGCUUCCAAGGUUUUGGCUAACGACCUUAAAUUAAUUUUACCUGUGGUGAUUUCUGAUUAUCAGAGUGCUUUUGUCCCGGGCAGACUUAUCACGGUAAUACCUUAA